AAGUCGUAACAAGGUUUCCGUAGGUGAACCUGCGGAAGGAUCAUUAACAUCUUGAUUGGUGGUGUGUGUGGUACUUCGGUACUGCCCGCCCUCAACCCCAUUGUGUGCAUGUUUGUGUGUGUGUUUGGGUAGGUAAAAGGGAGGUCUUACCUCACUUGUACCCCACUCCACUCACUCACUCACUCCUUUAUUCACUUCCAACACCCAAACCCCUUCUUCUCAUCACACUAGACUGACUUUAACAUCUCGUUUUCGCUCACCUUUCAACUGAGCAAAACAUCAAUCAGCAUACAACUCUUAGCAACGGAUAUCUAGGCUCUC
rnacentral:misc_RNA from 1 species